rnacentral:rRNA from 1 species
ACGAACGCUGGCGGCGUGCUUAACACAUGCAGGUCGAACGCUGAAGCUUGGUGCUUGCACUGGGUGGAUGAGUGGCGAACGGGUGAGUAAUACGUGAGUAACCUGCCCUUGACUCUGGGAUAAGCCUGGGAAACUGGGUCUAAUACUGGAUACGACAUGUCACCGCAUGGUGGUGUGUGGAAAGGGUUUUACUGGUUUUGGAUGGGCUCACGGCCUAUCAGCUUGUUGGUGGGGUAAUGGCUCACCAAGGCGACGACGGGUAGCCGGCCUGAGAGGGUGACCGGCCACACUGGGACUGAGACACGGCCCAGACUCCUACGGGAGGCAGCAGUGGGGAAUAUUGCACAAUGGGCGGAAGCCUGAUGCAGCGACGCCGCGUGAGGGAUGACGGCCUUCGGGUUGUAAACCUCUUUCAGCACGGAAGAAGCGAAAGUGACGGUACGUGCAGAAGAAGCGCCGGCUAACUACGUG